CGGAAGUGAUUUCCCAAGGCGGAACCUCCAGCCUGGGGAAAGUGCGCAGAGCACACGCGUGUGCCCUCGGGUUUUUGCCUGGAGGAUCUGAGGUUGCGAAGGGCUGACGCCGGGGGCCAGGGACGAGCUUCUGAUUUGGAUCAGCGAUGGCUAGAAAGACGUGGACGUGAGCUUCAGGAAUGCGUCCUGGUGGAGCCUUUCAGUGAUGAGGCAAAGGAAGCAUCCACCUGAGAAGAGGCAGCCAGGGGCCUGCUGGGGCUGGUGGAAAAGGGGGAUGGUGAGCCUGCAGACAGGAGUCUCUGAGCCAGUGGCACAGCAGGCCUCAUCUGCACCCUGCUGUCUCUCACAGCAACCCCCCCCCAGACCUUCACGAGACAGGGACCGCCUGUACCUUCGCAGAUUCGUCUGUCUUAGAAACCACAAGUCCCUUUGGUUGGUGUUAGGAGCUGCUUGAGGGGUCUCUUGCCUUCCCUGAGCCCUUGAGCCCCCAGGCCAGCUGCCAAGGGGGGCCUGGUGUUCACUGGCCACAGAGCUGCUGGAAAGAACCAAGUCAACCAAAGUGGCAUCCCUGACACUGAUCGCGAGGUCUCGUAGGCAGGAGCCACCCUCCUGCCCGGGCCUCCCUGGAGUCGUGUCUUAUAUUUGUUGCACACGUCAGCCUAAGAGAGCUUCGGUUAUUUUUGACAGCCGUUCUCCAGCUUUCAAAGAUUAUGUAAAAACACUCCCUUUUUUUUUUAUGAGCUCUGUUUAACAAGGUAAAUAAAAGAUUUCUUUGCUGA